UACGUAGGGCGCAAGCGUUAUCCGGAAUUAUUGGGCGUAAAGAGCUCGUAGGUGGCUUGUUGCGUCUGCCGUGAAAGCCCGUGGCUUAACUACGGGUCUGCGGUGGAUACGGGCAGGCUAGAGGCUGGUAGGGGCAAGCGGAAUUCCUGGUGUAGCGGUGAAAUGCGCAGAUAUCAGGAGGAACACCGGUGGCGAAGGCGGCUUGCUGGGCCAGUUCUGACGCUGAGGAGCGAAAGCGUGGGGAGCGAACAGG
rnacentral:rRNA from 1 species